GUGGGGAAUAUUGGACAAUGGGCGAAAGCCUGAUCCAGCCAUGCCGCGUGUGUGAAGAAGGUCUUCGGAUUGUAAAGCACUUUAAGUUGGGAGGAAGGGCAGUAAGUUAAUACCUUGCUGUUUUGACGUUACCGACAGAAUAAGCACCGGCUAACUUCGUGCCAGCAGCCGCGGUAAUACGAAGGGUGCAAGCGUUAAUCGGAAUUACUGGGCGUAAAGCGCGCGUAGGUGGUUUUGUAAGUUGGAGGUGAAAUCCCCGGGCUCAACCUGGGAACUGCCUCCAAAACUGCAUGACUAGAGUACGGUAGAGGGUAGUGGAAUUUCCUGUGUAGCGGUGAAAUGCGUAGAUAUAGGAAAGAACACCAGUGGCGAAGGCGACUACCUGGACUGAUACUGACACUGAGGUGCGAAAGCGUGGGGAGCAAACAGGAUUAGAAACCCCUGUAGUCC
rnacentral:rRNA from 1 species